rnacentral:lncRNA from 1 species
CAUUUUGAAAGUGACCUCAUCUGCUGAGUGAGCUGCAGGGCCGGGAUCCAACACCAGGUGCUGAAUGUGGAGAGGCAAAUAAAAUGGACACACAAGCCUUGACCUCUUGGAGUGAUUAUGAUCAAGAUUAUGAUCAUUGUGACACACAUUAAUCCAGGAAGCAAACAACCAAAUAACUCAUCACCUGUUGGGGAUUCCUUCAGGGAUUUGAGAAGUGCUAGUAAACCACUCACACAAUGAUUUCUCCAGCAGGGAAAGCUCUACCAAUUUCCAGCUCUUCUAAAAAACGAAGUCAUUUUAAUCCCCAUUCUUAAAAAUAUGUGGGUUUUCACACAAAAUAAACUCCUUCAUCGGCCUGAUUCUGUGUUUCUCCUAUUCUGGAAACAAGGUGUCGUAGGGCAGUGGGGUUGAAGGUAAAGGGUAUGGGAGGGAGGGUGUGAUUGUUCAUCUUGAAAACAAGACUUUGUGUGUAUGUGUAUGUGUGUACAUGUGUUUUAAUUUAGAGGAAAAUAAGUGAUCUCUCUUGAUGACACCCAGCAUGGUUUGAGAAUGUUUAUUUUAUGUUAUUCUAUAAAUAAACUGAAUGACUGCCAAGGAAAAAAUAAUCUGAGACAUGAUUCCUAGUGUCUACUCUAGUGAACUACUCUGAAAACUCCGGUCUGCCACUUGGUGUGAGCUCCAGGUUCUUAAAGGAUAGUUUGUCUUCAUGCAUGGGAAGCUUAUGACUUUGGCUUCUUCAUCUAGUUUCCACUUACAAAAAAACUUUUGACAGAAUCUCAGAAUGAUUUAGAAUCUGUCUGUAAUCAAAUGCUGAUAAAUAUUUCCAUUAAUGAGAUGUGCUGCUGAUUUGCUUAUUGCUUACCCUGUGAUAGGUUAUAGGCUAUUUUAUUGGUAAUUUUAAUGAUAAUGAUGAUUUACUACCACUAGUCCAUCAAGGUCAAAUUAUUUCUUAGCUAAAAGUUUAAGUUCUACUCUCCUGACUUAACUGAGCAAGGCAGAUGUAGCCCUAAGAGGUGCAUAUCUUGGGGUAGGAAACCCACCAAUUUAUUUCUUUUUAGACUUUUUGCCUCAAAGGUGGUUUUGAAGCCUCAUGUUUUUUCUGUUGUAAAGUGUCGCCAUUGGGGACAAAAACAUUAUAAAUCAGAAUGGUAAGACUUUGACUGCAAGAUACUGAGUCACCAAAGGGAAGACAGUAUGUCGCAUCCCUGGCUUCUCAAGGAUUUAGAAAAUCAUUCUCCUCUAUGUGCUUUGCAUAUAAUGGGGCAGGUCAGCAUAGAGAGGAUGCAACUCUUUGGCGAAUAUGCAAUGAUUGUCCCCAUAGCUAAUUUGAUAGAUCAACAGAAGAUCAUAGUGGACCUUGUUAUAAGAAAAUAGAGGAAGUAGCCAGGCAAGUUGGCUGACGCCUGUAACCCCAGCACUUUGGGAGGCCAAGGUGGGUGGAUCACUUGAGGCCAGGAGUUUGAGACCAGCCUGGCCAACAAGGCGAAACCCCAUCUCUACUAAAAAUACAAAAAUUAGCUGGGUGUGGUGGUGCACUCCUGUAAUCCCAGCUACACAGGAGGCUGAGGCAGGAAAAUUGGUUGAAUCCAGGAGGUGGAGGCUGCAGUGAGCUGAGAUAGCACCACUGCACUCCAGCCUGGGUGACAGAGCAAGACUCUGUCUCAAAAGUGAAAAAAAAAAAAAAAAAAAAAAAAAAAAAAGAAAAAGGAAAGAAAGAAAUAGAGGAAGAAUAGUUGAACUCUGCAGGAGUUGGUUCACCUACUGAAUUUCCUUUUAGCUUUAAGGAAAAAUCUUCCUUUCCUUCCUCCAAACACUUAUGCCUUUAUUGUCAAAACCAUUCACUUGGCAGUGGCACUUGUCACACUCUGCUUGUAUUGUGAGUAAAAGUUUUGUGUGUGAAAGUCUAAUAUCUCAACUAGAUAAGAGAGUUCCUCAAGGCGAGAGGCCGGGCUUUCCACUUCUUUGUGUCCUUGAAUCAUCUAGCUUUGAAGUUAAUACAUAAUGGUGCAUAAUCCACCAUUUAUUAUUAUAAAUUAUGAAUUAUUGUUAUGAAUUAUUAUUCAAACCAUUGCUACAGCUCAUUAUUCAUACUUGAUGAAAAUUCAGUCAAAGUUAAAAGUAUGUUGCAUUGUUUCUUAUGUAUUUGUAUAGAAUCAAAACAACUUUAUGUUGACUCAUGACCCAAAGUUCUUGUGUAGGGAACUUUCUUUGAACAAGAUUUAUACUCGAAAUUCAGUUUGUUAAAUUCAGUGAGUAUUUACUGAGUUUCUAUCAUGUGAAGUGUUAUAGAGUAUAAAAAAAGAAAGAUAGUAUAUAAGCACUCAAUAAGCUUUUAGUCUAAUACAGGAAUUGGGAAUGGAUUUCAACUUAAAUAUCUCUAUGAAUUGUUAGUAGCUGCUUAGAAUGCUGAUAAGAAUUAUUAGAUUCAGUAUGAAAGAGCAGUAUGAUCAAUUAGUAAAGUCUACCAUUUGCUUAGGAGUGGAGAAUGAUAGCAUGAGUGCCACAGAUUUGAAGAAUAAAUUCAAAGUCUAGAUAGUAGAAGAUUAUUUUUAGUAGAAUCCAGUCAAUUAAUAACUUAAUCAGAUUUGUUUGGUACAAAGUAAGUACCAAAUAUAUAAAUUACAUGAAAUUAUAUAUAUACAUAUUACUAUGCCCAGUCCACCAUAACAAAAUACCAUUGACUGGAUGGCUUAAACAACAGAAAUUUAUUUUCUCAUAAUUCUGGAGGCUAGAAGUCCAAGAUCAAGGUUCCAGCUGAUUUGGUUUUUGGUGAGGGCUCUUUUUCUGGCUUGUUGGCAGCUGCCUUCUUGCUGUGUGUUUACAUGACCUCUUUUAUUUGUGCAUGUGGAAGUAGUCAGUUCUGUGGUAUCUUUUCUUAUAAUGUCACUAAUCCUAUUGGAUCCCACCCCUAUGACCUCAUUUAACCUUAAUUUCUUAGAGGUCCUAUCUCCAAAUACAACCACGUUGGGGGUUAGGGCUUCAACAUAUGGAUUUGGGAGGACAUAAACAUUCAUUUCAUAGAAAUGUGUGAUACAAAGGAUAGCUUCAUGUAGUCUCCUAUUUGAAUAAGGGGAUAUCAUAGAAGUUAUAGAUCCAGAUAGGGUUAUCAUUUUUUAAAAAGCAAGACAUCAGAAUUGAUCAUUAAUUUUUAAAAUAACAGCUGCAUUUAAAGACAUCUGGUCUUACACGUUGUUCAUUGUAGAUCAAGUAAUCUACAUAAUGUGUUUUUAAAAAUUAGAUCUUAUGGGCUUUAAAAGUGAUCUGAAAUUCCUUGUGGAACAGAGUUUCAUCAAAGCCACUCCAAAAGGCCUAUGUAAAAAUAACCAUUCUUGCUGCACUCCAUGCAAAUAAUCAGGCCAAGUAUAAGACUAAAGUUUAUUCAUAAUUAGCUUUUAGAAAAAUGAGGACUGGAGAAAAAAAUUUUGCUCCAAAGCUUAUCAUACAUUUAUCAUUAAAUCCUAGUCUCAUUAAUCAUUUUUAAGCUUUUUGCCUACAUUUUAGACUAACCCUGCUUAUUCCUGUGAAUCAAGUGGUAAUCUUCUGCAGCUUGGGGAAAAAAAAAAAGGGAUGGGUAACGUAAAAAUGUGAAUCAAUAUGCUAGUUCUGGGCAAUUAUCUUGCAAAUUCUGCCUGGUAAUGAAAGUGAGUAAGGUGCCCAUAACCCGGAGGUUUCUUUGUUUGGGAAAAUAAAACCAAGGAACUUCAUAGACCCUCAGAGGGGAAUUCUGUAUCUUGGCAAGUAAAAUUUCAGAUGGAAAUUACCUACCACACCACACUUGUGGGAACUGCUGUCCUCACUCUUCUAUUUGCAAUAGGGUUAUCCAUGGUAUCACCUUCUAACUUAAAUAUUGGACAGAGAGUUUCCAUUGCUGUCAUGUUUUGCUUAAUUAGUAUCUUUAUGGUAGGGAUAAUAUUUACUGACAAAAAGGAAGCAUGAAAGUUUUACUGUCACUGAGUCUGCUAGGACUUUUUAUUGGGUUUAGUGAUGAAGUUUUAAAUGAAACAUGCUGCUUUUGGAUUAACACCUCUAAUAAAGUAGAGGAAAAUCUACAGGUACUUAAAAAUCAAAUAAAAAUUAUUAACAGGCUCAGAGAAAAUGCUGGCUUCAGCCCCGGGUGGCUACAAUCCCUCUUUAAUGAAUUCUGGUCUUUAUGGAAUUGGUUAACCCCUUUAUUAAGCCCUCUCUUACUUAUAUGUCUUGUAUUGAUAUUUGGACCCUUUAUACUCAAUACUGUAACUCGAAUUGUUUCUUCUUGCCUAGAAGCAAUCAAAUGCCAAAUGGUGCUGUAAACUGAACCACACAUGGACAUGCCAUUCUUCCAAGGACCCUUAGAUCAACCCCAGGAGGAGCCCUAGCUGCUGUUCCCCAUUCAACGCCCCUUUUUUGCAGGAAGUAGCCAGAAAGAGUCGUCGUCCCAAACCCCCUGACAGCAGUUACUGUGGCAUCUUCACAGUGGGGGCUGUUGUAAGAGUUAUUAAGAAAUUAUUUUAGGCAGAUAGAGAGGACAAGGGGUCCUUGGGAAGUUUUCAUUUUUUAAAGCAUCUCCAGAAAUGUUUUCUUGUGAAGUUCCGGCUCUUAGAGCCAGGCUGGCAACCUUUGAUAUGCAAAUGCCAACCAUUAGAAACUGGGUCUACCCAAACAUGGAGAUUCCCUCAGCCUUCUUGCCCUUUUCCCACAUGUUCCCGGCAGCAUGGCCCCCACCUAUCCCCACGUGUGUAGAACAUCAUGGUGCAUUGUAUUUGCAUAUUAAAAGGCUAGGGUGGGAGGGCCAGCUUUUUUGCAAGCUACAUGAAUGACAUGCCUAGUCAAACCAAUCCCCUGAGCCCUGUGCAAAUCAGACAUCGCCUCCUCCAGCCUCUGCAUAUAUACCUGGCUGGUGUCCACCGUACUUGGGGACCUCCUCUUUUGGCUUUGGAGCACCCCCUCCCCAUCUCUGUAUGGGGGAGCCUCUUCCUUCUGUCUUCUCUCUUUAAUUUUUAAAACAAAAUUUAAAAUUUUUCUUUCUUGCCUAUUAAACUCUCUGCUCCUUAAAACAAAACAAAACAAAACAAAAUUAGAUCAGGCUAGGUGCUGUGGCUCAUGCUUAUAAUCCCAGCACUUUGGGAGGCUGAGACAGGUGGAUUGCUUGAGCUCAGGAGUUUCAGACCAGCCUAAGGCAAUAUGGUGAAACCCCAUCUCUACAAAAGAUACAAAAAUUAGCUGGGCAUGGUGGUGUGUGCCUGUGGUCCCAGCUACUUGGGAGGUUGAGUCGGGAGGAUGGCUUGACUCUGGGGGCAGAGGUUACAGUAACUCUAGAUCACACCACUGCACUCCCGCCUGGGCAACAGAGCCAGACUCUGUUUCAAAAAAAAAAUUACAUCAAGC